UGAUCAUGGCUCAGAACGUACGCUGGCGGCACGCCUAACACAUGCAAGUCGAACGAAGUAGCAAUACUUAGUGGCAGACGGGUGAGUAACAUGUAGGUAUCUGCCCUUUGGCCUGGAAUAACACGAGGAAACUUGUGCUAAUACCGGAUAAGUCUUUACGGAGAAAGCUUUAUGCACCAUUGGAUGAGCCUGCACUUGAUUAGUUUGUUGGUGGGGUAAUGGCCUACCAAGACUGUGAUCAAUAGCUGAUUUGAGAGGAUGAUCAGCCACAUUGGGACUGAGACACGGCCCAAACUCCUACGGGAGGCAGCAGUGGGGAAUCUUGCACAAUGGAGGAAACUCUGAUGCAGCGAUGCCGCGUGAGUGAAGAAGGCCUUUGGGUUGUAAAGCUCUUUCGUCGGGGAAGAAAAUGACUGUACCCGAAUAAGAAGGUCCGGCUAACUUCGUGCCAGCAGCCGCGGUAAUACGAAGGGACCUAGCGUAGUUCGGAAUUACUGGGCUUAAAGAGUUCGUAGGUGGUUGAAAAAGUUGGUGGUGAAAUCCCAGAGCUUAACUCUGGAACUGCCAUCAAAACUUUUCAGCUAGAGUAUGAUAGAGGAAAGCAGAAUUUCUAGUGUAGAGGUGAAAUUCGUAGAUAUUAGAAAGAAUACCAAUUGCGAAGGCAGCUUUCUGGAUCAUUACUGACACUGAGGAACGAAAGCAUGGGUAGCGAAGAGGAUUAGAUACCCUCGUAGUCCAUGCCGUAAACGAUGUGUGUUAGACGUUGGAAAUUUAUUUUCAGUGUCGCAGCGAAAGCGAUAAACACACCGCCUGGGGAGUACGACCGCAAGGUUAAAACUCAAAUGAAUUGACGGGGACCCGCACAAGCGGUGGAGCAUGUGGUUUAAUUCGAAGCUACGCGCAGAACCUUACCAACACUUGACAUGUCUGUCGCGGAUUCCAGAGAUGGAUUCCUUCGGUUCGGCCGGACAGAACACAGGUGCUGCAUGGCUGUCGUCAGCUCGUGUCGUGAGAUGUUGGGUUAAGUCCCGCAACG
rnacentral:rRNA from 1 species